GUGGGAAAAGGGAUAUGUUAUUUAGAGAUUGUCUUAUUACCUGUACCUCUGUCAUAAGGCCUACAUAAUAACAGGCUUGACAUGAUCAUAACGGUUUGACAUGAUCGUGAUGUCAUGACAGAGGGUUCAUGUAAAAAUACUGCUGUGCUACUUUGUUUAUGCAGUCGAUAAUUCAGUUGGAAUUAAUGUUCAAUCAACAUCUAGUAGAACUACAGGGAAAUGAUCAUAUGUCUACAGUGUGUUCUGUAGUCUUUGGAAUGAGUGUUGUCUACCAGUAGAACUACAGGUAAAUGAUCAUAUGUCUACAGUGUGUUCUGUAGUCUUUGGAAUGAGUGUUGUCUACCAGUAGAACUACAGGUAAAUGAUCAUAUGUCUACAGUGUGUUCUGUAGUCUUUGGAAUGAGUGUUGUCUACCAGUAGAACUACAGGUAAAUGAUCAUAUGUCUACAGUGUGUUCUGUAGUCUUUGGAAUGAGUGUUGUCUACCAGUAGAACUACAGGUAAAUGAUCAUAUGUCUACAGUGUGUUCUGUAGUCUUUGGAAUGAGUGUUGUCUACCAGUAGAACUACAGGUAAAUGAUCAUAUGUCUACAGUGUGUUCUGUAGUCUUUGGAAUGAGUGUUGUCUACCAGUAGAACUACAGGUAAAUGAUCAUACGUCUACAGUGUGUUCUGUAGUCUUUGGAAUGAGUGUUGUCUACCAGUAGAACUACAGGUAAAUGAUCAUACGUCUACAGUGUGUUCUGUAGUCUUUGGAAUGAGUGUUAUCCACGGGAGGCUGGUGGUACCUUAAUUGGGGAGGAUGGGCGGAAUGGAAUGAUAUCAAACACACAUUCACUCCACCCCAGCCAUUAUUAUGAGCCGUCCUCCUCUCACCAGCCUCCUAUGGUGUUGUCAUAGGCCACCCUAUCAGUUUUUCACAAAUUCUUUCUCCUUUGUCUGUGUUCCGCUCUCUCUCUUGCUCUCCCUUUCUCCUUUUCUCGCUCUCCCUUUCUCUCUCUCUCUCUCUCUCUCUUUCUUUCUUUCUUUCUUUCUUUCUUUCUUUCUUUCUUUCUUUCUCACUCUCCCUCUCUCUCCCUCUCUUGUCAUGUGACAACAACAGUGUCAGUGUUUAGAGAAGAGAUGUUGCAAAAACGAAUCAGCCACCUCGUAAACAGAGCUCCCCCUCAUUUACAGCUCCUCUUUCUCUUCCCCACUACCCCUCUCUCUCUAUC